rnacentral:rRNA from 1 species
UGGGGAAUUUUGGACAAUGGGCGAAAGCCUGAUCCAGCAAUGCCGCGUGUGUGAAGAAGGCCUUCGGGUUGUAAAGCACUUUUGUCCGGAAAGAAAUCCUUGGCUCUAAUACAGUCGGGGGAUGACGGUACCGGAAGAAUAAGCACCGGCUAACUACGUGCCAGCAGCCGCGGUAAUACGUAGGGUGCAAGCGUUAAUCGGAAUUACUGGGCGUAAAGCGUGCGCAGGCGGUUUGCUAAGACCGAUGUGAAAUCCCCGGGCUCAACUUGGGAACUGCAUUGGUGACUGGCAGGCUAGAGUAUGGCAGAGGGGGGUAGAAUUCCACGUGUAGCAGUGAAAUGCGUAGAGAUGUGGAGGAAUACCGAUGGCGAAGGCAGCCCCCUGGGCCAAUACUGACGCUCAUGCACGAAAGCGUGGGGAGCAAAACAGGAUUAGAUACCCUGGUAGUCCACGCCCUAAACGAUGUCAACUAGUUGUUGGGGAUUCAUUCCUUAGUAACGUAGCUAACGCGUGAAGUUGACCGCCUGGGGAGUACGGUCGCAAGAUUAAAACUCAAAUGAAUUGACGGGGUCAUAGCUGUUUCCU